AAAACCCCCAAGAAGAAGAAAAAAU
rnacentral:sRNA from 1 species